rnacentral:rRNA from 1 species
UACGGAGGUCCCGAGCGUUGUUCGGAUUCAUUGGGCGUAAAGGGUGCGUAGGCGGCGGGGCAAGUCUGAUGUGAAAUCCCGGGGCUCAACCCCGGAACUGCAUUGGAUACUGCCUUGCUAGAGUACUGGAGAGGGAACUGGAAUUUACGGUGUAGCAGUGAAAUGCGUAGAGAUCGUAAGGAAGGCCAGUGGCGAAGGCGAGUUCCUGGACAGUUACUGACGCUGAGGCACGAAGGCCAGGGGAGCAAACGGG